UUUGGAUUAUUUUAAGAGAAUCCAUAAAUAUUUGGAAUAUUAUUUUUAGAUAGGGAUUUAAGCGCGAUAAAUAAAUUAUACGGCUAAAUAAUAAAUUUAAGGAAAAAGGCGAUAAUUAAUAUUUUGGAUUAAGAAAAGUAGUCCGUAUAAUUUAUAAUCGAUGAGAGUUUGGAUUUAGCCCGAGAAAUUUAUCGACGUGCUUAAUUAAUAAAUUAAUGAAUAAAUAAAUUAAUAGGAAUUCUAAAUAACCAAAAUAAAUGGUGUAGAGCCAAAUUAUGAUAGGCCUAAUUAAUACUACAAUUUAUAAGCCCAAAAUUAAUAAUGAAAUAAAAUAAAAGCCAAGCCCAAUCCAUUCCCUUUUAGUGAUAUUAAAAACAAAUGAGCAAUAUAAUUCCUUAGCCACAAACCAAAGAAGUUUCCAGAGAAGGAAAAAAAAAAAAGAAAGAAGCCUCAUCUCUUCUUCUUCACCAAGAAGAAAUAUUUUCCUACACCAUCCAUUAAAGCUUGAGGUUUGGGAAUUCAAGCUUCUAUUGUUUAUUAUCUACCCCUAGCAACAAUAAAAUAAGAUCGUACGGGUAUUUGGAUUGGAGAAAUAGAGAAUUUGGAGGGUUAAACAACGGGCUAUUUUAUUGUGCUUUAUGAAAUUUGGAUUAAGCGAUCGAGUGUUUUCUUUCAGGAUUAACAUAUGACGAUGUGGUCGAGCUUCCAUUCGUUGUUCCGGAAGUCUCAGUUAUGGGAGGUCUUAUUCUUCUUAGAGCUGCAGUAGUCAUGAUAGUAGACCUAGCUAGUAGCUGACAAUUUAUAUUUAUAUUAUGACUUGCUAAAAUGAUGUAUUUUGGAAAAAUGAAUUAUCCAGGGAUUUAAUAUAUGGUUAAUUGGUAUUUUAUACAGAGUGGUUUGUGUAUUUUCACA